rnacentral:rRNA from 1 species
UACGGGGGGGGCAAGCGUUGUUCGGAAUUACUGGGCGUAAAGGGCGCGUAGGCGGCCUGCUAAGUCACACGUGAAAUCCCUCGGCUCAACCGGGGAACUGCGUGUGAUACUGGCGGGCUUGAAUUCGGGAGAGGGAUGUGGAAUUCCAGGUGUAGCGGUGAAAUGCGUAGAGAUCGGGAGGAACACCAGAGGCGAAGGCGGCGACCUGGACAGGCACUGACACUCAACUACGAAAGCGUGGGGAGCAAACAGG